rnacentral:rRNA from 1 species
GGGAUUGCCUCAGUAACGGCGAGUGAAGCGGCAACAGCUCAAAUUUGAAAUCUGGCGUCUUCGGCGCCCGAGUUGUAAUUUGCAGAGGAUGCUUCGGCGUAGGCGCCGCCCAAAGUUCCUUGGAACGGGACGUCGCAGAGGGUGAGAGCCCCGUGUUCGGGCGGAUGCCGUCGCCAUGUGAAGCUCCUUCGACGAGUCGAGUUGUUUGGGAAUGCAGCUCAAAACGGGAGGUAAAUUUCUUCCAAAGCUAAAUACCGGCCGGAGACCGAUAGUGCACAAGUAGAGUGAUCGAAAGAUGAAAAGCACUUUGGAAAGAGAGUCAAACAGCGCGUGAAAUUGUUAAAAGGGAAGCGCUUGCGGUCAGAACUUGGCCGCCGUUGCUCGGGGAGGUCUCGCGCCUCCCUCGCUCUUCGGCGGCUGGGCCAGCAUCGGUUCGGGCGGCUCGAGAAAGGUCGUGGGAACGUAGCUCCCUCCGGGGAGUGUUAUAGCCCGCGGCGCAAUAGGGCCCGCCUGGACCGAGGUCUGCGCAUCUGCUCGGAUGCUGGCGUAAUGGCCCCAAGCGGCCCGUCUUGAAACACGGACCAAGGAGUCUAACAUUCGUGCGAGUGUUCGGGCGUUAAACCCGUGCGCGCAAUGAAAGUGAACGUAGGUGGGAGCCCCUUGUGGGUGCACCAUCGACCGAUCCAAAUGUUUUCGGAUGGAUUUGAGUAUGAGCACGUAUGUUGGGACCCGAAAGAUGGUGAACUAUGCCUAAACAGGGCGAAGCCAGAGGAAACUCUGGUGGAGGCUCGCAGCGGUUCUGACGUGCAAAUCGAUCGUCAAAUUCGGGCAUAGGGGCGAAAGACUAAUCG